rnacentral:rRNA from 1 species
GGAUGAACGCUAGCGGCAGGCUUAAUACAUGCAAGUCGAGGGGCAGCACAGGUAGCAAUACUGGGUGGCGACCGGCAAACGGGUGCGGAACACGUACGCAACCUUCCUUCAAGCGGGGGAUAGCUUUCGGAAACGAAAAUUAAUACCCCAUAGUACUACGAGAGGGCAUCUGAUUGUAGUUAAAGAUUUAUCACUUGAAGAUGGGCGUGCGGCUGAUUAGGUAGUUGGCGGAGUAAUAGCCCACCAAGCCAACGAUCAGUAACUGGUGUGAGAGCACGACCAGUCACACGGGCACUGAGACACGGGCCCGACUCCUACGGGAGGCAGCAGUAAGGAAUAUUGGUCAAUGGACGCAAGUCUGAACCAGCCAUGCCGCGUGGAGGAUGAAGGCCCUCUGGGUUGUAAACUUCUUUUAUCAGCGAAGAAACCCCCGGUUUAUACUGGGGUUGACGGUACCUGAUGAAUAAGCACCGGCUAACUCCGUGCCAGCAGCCGCGGUAAUACGGAGGGUGCAAGCGUUAUCCGGAUUCACUGGGUUUAAAGGGUGCGUAGGUGGGUUUGUAAGUCAGUGGUGAAAUCUCCAAGCUUAACUUGGAAACUGCCAUUGAUACUAUAGAUCUUGAAUCUCGUGGAGGUAAGCGGAAUAUGUCAUGUAGCGGUGAAAUGCUUAGAUAUGACAUAGAACACCGAUAGCGAAGGCAGCUUACUACACGAGUAUUGACACUGAUGCACGAAAGCGUGGGGAUCAAACAGGAUUAGAUACCCUGGUAGCCCACGCCCUAAACGAUGGAUACUCGACAUACGCGAUACACAGUGUGUGUCUGAGCGAAAG